CCUACGGGGUGCAGCAGUGGGGGAUAUUGCACAAUGGGGGAAACCCUGAUGCAGCGACGCCGCGUGGGCGAAGAAGUAUUUCGGUAUGUAAAGCCCUAUCAGCAGGGAAGAAGAAAUGACGGUACCUGAGUAAGAAGCACCGGCUAAAUACGUGCCAGCAGCCGCGGUAAUACGUAUGGUGCAAGCGUUAUCCGGAUUUAAUGGGUGUAAAGGGAGCGCAGGCGGCGCGUUAAGCCUGGUGUGAAAGCCCGCGGCCCAACCGCGGGACUGCCUUGGGAACUGGCGCGCUGGAGUGCCGGAGGGGUAGGCGGAAUUCCUAGUGUAGCGGUGAAAUGCGUAGAUAUUAGGAGGAACACCAGUGGCGAAGGCGGCCUACUGGACGGUGACUGACGCUGAGGCUCGAAAGCGUGGGGAGCAAACAGGAUUAGAUACCCUUGUAGUC
rnacentral:rRNA from 1 species